GCCAGCAGUCGCGGUAAUACAAGGGAGACUAGCGUUUUUCAUCUUUAUUAGGUUUAAAGGGUACCUAGACGGUUUAUCAAUCCUUAAAAAGGAAACUGAUAAGACUAGAGUUUUAUGGGGGAGGUGUAUAUAGUAUUGAAAGAGAAGGGAUAGAAUUUUUUUAUACUUUCAAGACUGAUAAAAGUGAAAACAAUCCUCUAUGUAAAAACUGACGUUAAGGGACGAAGGCAUGGUUAUCGAAUAGGAUUAGAUACCCUAAUAGUCCAUGCAGAAAAUGAUGAAUGCCAUAAAUAAAUGUUAUAAUUACAUCAAUGUAAUUAUAUUAUGACUUAUAUUUUAUAAAUGAAAGUGUAAGCAUUCCACCUCAAGAGUACUGUGGCAACACAUAAACUGAAAUCAUUAGNCCGUUUCUGAANCCAGUAGUGAAGUAUGUUAUUUAAUUCGAUAAUCCUCGAAAAACCUUACCUCAAUUUGAAUAUUUAGUUAAUUAACUAAAUACAAGUGUUGCACGGCUGUCUUCAGUUAAUGUCGUGAGAUAUGGUUAACCCCU
rnacentral:rRNA from 2 species